UUUCCGUAGGUGAACCUGCGGAAGAAUCAUUA
rnacentral:rRNA from 1 species